AUUGAACGCUGGCGGCAGGCCUAACACAUGCAAGUCGAACGAGUGGCGACGGGUGUGUUAUGUCUGGGAAAACGCCCUGUGGAGGGGGAUAACUACUGGAAACCGGAGCUAAUACCCCAUACCAUCGGGUGUUCCCAGAUGGGGGGAGCUAGUAGGUGGGGGAAAGGCUCACCUAGGCGACGAUCCCUAGCUGGUCUGAGAGGAUGACCAGCCACACUGGAACUGAGACACGGUCCAGACGCCUACGGGAGGCAGCAGUGGGGAAUAUUGCACAAUGGGCGCAAGCCUGAUGCAGCCAUGCCGCGUGUAUGAAGAAGGCCUUCGGGUUGUAAAGUACUUUCAGCGGGGAGGCGUUACCCGCAGAAGAAGCACCGGCUAACUCCGUGCCAGCAGCCGCGGUAAUUC
rnacentral:rRNA from 1 species